rnacentral:rRNA from 1 species
UACGGGGGGUGCGAGCGUUGUCCGGAAUCACUGGGCGUAAAGGGCGCGUAGGUGGCUUUGUAAGUUUGCGGUGAAAGCCCGGGGCUCAACCCCGGGUCUGCCGUGGAUACUGCAAGGCUUGAGUACUGUAGAGGCAGGUAGAAUAUCGGGUGUAGCGGUGGAAUGCGUAGAGAUCCGAUAGAAGACCGGUGGCGAAGGCGGCCUGCUGGGCAGUAACUGACACUGUGGCGCGAAAGCUAGGGGAGCAAACGGG